rnacentral:lncRNA from 1 species
GAACCAGCGAGACGGGCCCGGAUUCAGGCCCUGUGUGCGCGGCGCCGAGUCAACUCGCAGGGCAGCGGUAGAGAGGGGGAGUUGCAGGCAGCAGCAGCAGGCAGGCAGGCAGGAGGAGGAGGAGGAGGGAGGAGGGCGGGAGCGCACGGCGCCUCCUUCGCCGCUGUCGUGACUGCAGUUAAACCGGCAACGCGGGCCUUGCCUGGUCUGAGCCGAGCCGGAUCAAGAGACAGGAGUGACCACUAGAGGGCGCGGCAAAGGUGGGGGAAAUGAGCGGGCGAGCGGGAGAGACUCCCCGGAACUUGUCAUAACCACACCCUUCUUUCUUACGAAAGGCCAGCUGCUUCUAUGGCGGCGGCAGGGGUUUCAGUGCCGAUGCAUUUGGCGCGUCAAUACCCCAUAUCGUGUUUGCUUUAAAAAAACAAAAAAAAACCCUUUCCCACCACUCCUACUAAGAAGCCUCGUUGAUAGCACCCAAUGGGAAAAUGUAUCCUUUCAUCUAAGUCUUCGGAACUUUCGAGCAGGAUUCUGGAGUGCAAUGAACCUUCCCAUCUGUUCACUUCCAAUAUGUUUUCAAAAACUGAACUAGUUUUUGGCCAUUUUCCAGCCAGGCUUGGGUGACACGUGAGGAUGUCCAAGCACAAAGCUUGCAAAUUUGAAGGAAACAAAACAAAGAGCAGGUGGGACAAAGAAGGAGAGGCGCUGGGCAAGAAGCAACAGAAAUAUCAUGAGAAAGGUGAAAAUGGAAAAUGUCUGUCGACCCACACGAUUCCUGCUUGGCCACCACCCCCCAUGAUGGAAAUUCGGGCCUCCUGCAGACCCUCCGCAGUUCUUCCAAGGCUUGAAGUCUUUCUUUUACCCUGCUCCUGAAAUUCUUCUUCCGUGAGAUGGCAGAUUUGGAUCUUUUCAGUUCUGAAAAAACUAAUGGCUUUCCUAGGUAGGAAGGAAAAAAGGAAGGAAAACUGAAGAAUAAAGGGAAAGGGAAGAAUACUGGCA